CCUUAUCUUAAUUAGCAUUUAAACAGCCAAGCACAUGUGUCUAUACAUAUACAUUGUAUCAUAUAUAUAUACAUACACACGCACACACGCAAACACUGUAUAUUAAACAGAUACGCAUAAUUUGAAGGCUUAUUUAUAUUAAAAAGAAAUGUACAUUUCAAUUUCGUUUUCGUAGCAUGUAAAUAAAAUUCGGACUUCUGUUGAAAAGCGUCAGAGAGACACGCAACAAAUAAUAAAUAUUAAAACGCAACAUUUCGAAGGAGCGCCAAGAAAUUCUCGCAAAACAUGAAACAUCGUGUUUUAAUAAAUGGGGGAAAAACAGUGGACAGGAUAGACAAGGCAGCAUGUAACACAACCGUAGAGAAAAUAGAAAAGAGCAAAAGCUAAACUAAUUUGGCAGAAGUGAAGUCGAAGCAUCAAGUAAGAAUAUUAAGUAAAAAGAAUUGGUGGGAAAUCGAUGUAUUAUUGAAAUAAUUUGUAAAACAUGGUCAAGGAUGAAGUUUAGUGUACACCAUUUAGAUUUGGUAUCUGAGAAGAACAGAACAUGUAUGCUGUGAAGAGGAAAGCAACCUGUAGAUCACUCUUUGGUGUUACUAUAAAUAGAUUCCAGUCUGAGCAUAUUUUGCUUUUCAUCCCUGGAAGUUAUGACAUCAAAAACUAAACACAGAAAUGUUGUAUUUUGCAGGCCCAGAAAAUACUUAGCUCUGACCAAUUGGUGACCAUCUAUAAAGUUCAAGUGAAACCCACACUAAAGUACUGUUCACAUAUUAGGAAAAGUGCUGCUGCUACUGCUACAACUACUGCUGCUAUGCUAAACUUCAACAGCUAUCACUUCAA